rnacentral:rRNA from 1 species
GACGAACGCUGGCGGCGUGCUUAACACAUGCAAGUCGAAUGAUGAAGCCGGAGCUUGCUCCGGUGGAUUAGUGGCGAACGGGUGAGUAACACGUGAGCAAUCUGCCCUUGACUCUGGGAUAACUGCGGGAAACUGUAGCUAAUACUGGAUACGACACCUUGGGGCAUCCCAGGGUGUGGAAAGAAUUUCGGUCAAGGAUGAGCUCGCGGCCUAUCAGCUAGGUGGUGAGGUAAUGGCUCACCAAGGCGACGACGGGUAGCCGGCCUGAGAGGGUGACCGGCCACACUGGAACUGAGACACGGUCCAGACUCCUACGGGAGGCAGCAGUGGGGAAUAUUGCACAAUGGGCGAAAGCCUGAUGCAGCAACGCCGCGUGAGGGAUGAAGGCCUUCGGGUUGUAAACCUCUUUUAGCAGGAAAGAAGCGAAAGUGACGGUACCUGCAGAAAAAGCACCGGCUAACUACGUGCCAGCAGCCGCGGUAA